rnacentral:rRNA from 1 species
GACAGAGGGGGCAAGCGUUGCUCGGAAUUACUGGGCGUAAAGGGCGCGUAGGCGGGAUGGCAAGUCGGUCGUGAAAUCCCUCGGCUCAACCGAGGAACGUCGAUCGAUACUGCUGUUCUUGAGGAUUGCAGAGGAGACUGGAAUUCCCGGUGUAGCGGUGAAAUGCGCAGAUAUCAGGAAGAACACCCGUGGCUAAGGCGGCUCUCUAGUACGGUACUGACGCUGAGACGCGAAAGCGUGGGGAGCGAACAGG